rnacentral:tRNA from 3 species
AAAAUCCGUUGGUUUCGACCGUGAGGGUUCGACUCCCUUAUCCCCA